CUGCUUUGGCAGCACAUAUGCUAAAACUGGAAUAACACAGAGAAGAAUAACAUGAGCCCUGUGUGAGGAUGACAUACACAUUUGUGAAGUGGCCUUCUGGAAU